ACUGAGUGCAAACGUAUGCAGGAUGGCUGCUGUCUCAAACCAAUUUCACUCAAACAGUUGGUUAUAUCCCGAUGAUCAUUUUGCUCCUGGUGAACAUAAUUUGAAAUUUGAACUUCGGGAUCAGAUCGGAAUACCAUGGGAUUUUUCCAAAUAUGAUUGGGAAAGAGGGUGUUCCGUUGCAGAUGCUGUUUUAAGAAUGAUUCUUAACUUCGAAAUCAGGCCCGUUUACAUUUCGAGGGUCUGGAAAUUCAUACUGACUACAUUCGACAGGCGAGUGCACGACAAGGAAUGAAAAUCAUAGCCCCAACCGAGUUUGAUGCCGUUAUACCAUUUACGAUCAAAGGUCUUGACCUGCAGGAAAUUCGUUUGAGAGAUUUUUCUGAUCAGUAUCUUCCAGGUCAGAUACGGCUUCGUGUGGUAGAUGUUGCACAAAUUGACAAGUUUCCAGGCCUGGGAAGAGCAGACGUGUUUGGAAUGAAAUCUGGAACAUGCCUCAUCGACACCAAAGCUACAAGAGCAGGUUUUCAAAUCUCUAAUGGAAAAAGCUUUUCAUGCUCUUCAUCGAUUCCAAAUGCUCCUACAACUUAUAACGUAACAAGAGGAUCCCGACCACCUACAAUGGACUUGAAAAUUAAGGACGACAUUCUGGAAUUCAUAUACGUUGACUUUGUUCCUGGAUUUAUUCUGGACAACGAAAAAAUAUCUAUUCCUGGAGCUGCAGUGUCAUCAUUCGAAGAAACACCUGUUGUCUUCCCAAGGUAUGGUCUCAUGAAAUGGAUUAACAAAGAAAAUAAAAACAUCGACGAGAAUGACAAAACUUUCAUAUGGCGAAGUUGUUCGUCGUCAUAUGAAAGAUUCAUGUUCGAUCUGUGCGUUGUCAGCGAGGAAAGAUCCUACAUCAGAACCGCGUGUCGCGUUAUGAAAACCUUGGUACAUAUGCUGAGAGGGCGCCAAAACCAGGCGGCAAAUCUGUUGUCGUCAUACCAACUGAACCGUCGCUAUGUACUGCAUCCUUCUGCUAACCGUGCCUACGAAGCUGACGUCACCGGGUUAUCGCCUUAGUGGGGUCCGCGAGGCUUUGGGAUACUUUCUGUCAUUUUUGAAGUCAGUACUAGAGAAAAAAGUUCUGCCAAAUUUUUUCCUAGGAAACGAAUACCUGGAUAAAAUUUUCCCGGGGUCGUAUUUCUCCAAAAUUCGCAUCAAGUACAACUUAUUCGACAAAGAAAACCCUGCACUCGUGGAACAGGCGAAAUUCGGUUUUCCUGAAUUUGAGAGAGUCCUUUCUGGGUGUUUUGACGCCGGGAAUCUGAACCCUAAAGUUGUCAACUUUUUUAGAGACAAGACACUUAACAUGUAAGAGGAAUACUAGUAUCAAGGCGUUCAUGUUGCAACAUAUCAUAUGUUGAGCAUGUACAGAAGUUCACAACGUAAAACUAAAACAAUUAUAACAUUCAUCUUUAAUUUAUUAGAUUUGAUGUAACAUGUUAAAAAUAAGUUACUCCUACGUCAUUUGACCGCAUAAUUUCUUAAUCCGGACAAUUUGGUUGGGGACAGAGAAAAAAAUGCCGGAUAACCAUUUAAUACUAGUAUACUGUAAACGUAGUAUAUUUAGCGUGUACGAUAUUUGGCGGAAUAUGAUUUUUUAACAAGUUAGCGUGGAUUUGAUUUAGCGCAUUUCUGAUUGUACCUAUUCAUCUACUUAAUAUACAUGUAUAUUUUACAUUUGGCGGUGUACUUGAUUUAGCGGACGGCGUUUUCGGCCAAAAACGCUAAAUAGAAUACACAGCCAAAUGCAAUACGUGUACAGUAAUUUAAAUUAAUAUUUUAAGAAGUUUUUAUGGCUGUGAUUUUGAGAAUAUUCUUUGCUGAGUAAUUCACAAAGGUUGACUUGAGUAUGCCGUGGAUUUGCAUCAUAUAAGGAGGACUCG
rnacentral:sRNA from 1 species